rnacentral:lncRNA from 1 species
AUGAGGUGGCUUUAUUUUUGCAUAUGUUGGAGGUCCUCUGUGAAUCACUGUGUGCAGAGAAUGCUUCUUUAUUCUGCAUCCUGGCCAGUGAUCACGGGGCAAGCUGGAGAGAAAUGGAACAGAGGAUAUCUCCCCCAAAAUAAGGCUUUUCUACAGAAAGAGGAGGAGGCUGGAGUACAGUGUUGUGAUCAUGGCUUACUACAACUUCCGCCUCCUGGGUUUAAGCCAUCCUCCCACUUCACCCUCCUGAGUAGCUUGGACUACAGGCAUGCACCACCAUGCUGGGGCAUUUACAGCUAGAACGGGAGAAUGUUUUGGAGGAAAGAAGGCAUUUCAUGCUCCGAUCACCUCCGGUAGGCAGUUGCCUCUUCCUCUACCAUCCGCUUCGUAUCAUUUUUCCAACUCCUUGAUGUGAUUUGAACAGAGUGGCUGUGAGUGGCAGUGGUGCACAGGCUUGCCGUGGUGAGUCUCUGUGGAAAGGAACAAAGCUAGGCAAGGCUCCAGGUGACAGCCUGCCUGCCACCGCGUAAGAGGAGGGAACAAUGGAACUUGCCAUUUGGAGGGACUGUGGGCUUCCAGCCUCCUGCAGGAGGAUCAGCAGCUGCCAGUGGCAUCCAAACUCCACUUUCUGCACAAAAUGAAGAUGUCACGGGGACAGAAAAAUGCCAGUCAAUUGCCCUUUGAUUUUCUAGUCUACCCGAGCAGCAGUAGCAGUUUUGUCCCUCAAACUCUUUUCUGGCAAAGCCUAUAGGGCCCAAGAACAGCUUUUAUUCUACGUGCAUGUAGGGGG